UUUUGCGAAUUUAACGAUUUUGCGGACACAGGAGCUGAUUUUGUGAAUGUGCAAGGGUUACACAUUUUUGGUGUAGUCUGGAAAUUAUGCACUUUUGUGCUGAGCGGCGUUAGCGUAUAAACACCAAAAUAUUGACAACUUUGCAAACGCUGAUUGGUGGACACGGUGUGCACCAGCUACACUCCCGUGCGAUGUCAAUUAUUCACAGGUCCGGGUGAACGUAUAUGUUUGCCUGUAUUUGUCGAUAAAAAUAUGUAAACAAACCGAUCAGCUGAUCGCGACGUCACGUUCGCCAGAAAAUUUGUUCGCAGCUUCUGGAACGUGACGUCACCUUCGGCAACUUCGUGCGAUUUCGGCUUGCCGAAGUUGACAUGACACGACUACUACUUCAAAAUUAUCAUAUCACAAACACCCCUUUGCCCGAUGGGCCUAACCUGGUGAAAUUUAGAACAUUGACUCCCGUGCUUAUAGCACGAAAAUCAAAUACGAACAUUUUCGGUGCAAAAGUGCUACAGCGGCCGUUCGCUCGUUGCAAAAUGUUUACUUUGAAACGAGCGAAUGCCAUUCGCUUAUUGCAACGUCACUUUGACGUUAAAGUGCAUCGAAAUGUACUGACAGCACGAAUUUGACACUUGAUUGCUUUUUAUGUCGUUUUCGUUAGUAAUCCUACAUUAUAGAGAUCUGCGGAAGCGGCCAUUGUGAGCCAAUAGUGCAGAGAGAAAUGUCAAAGUGUGAGCCAAACGAACAUGUUUAUUGUUUGUAGGAAUGCGUCGUUCGAACGGUAUUGGAAUCAGAACUAAACAAAUUAUAAUUAUUUACUUUUGAUAUCGAUGGAUUGAAGGCAUAUUAAAUUGUAGUAAAAAAGAUAAUAAUAAAUUAAUUAUGCUUUCAAGUACUCAUGUUCAUGUAGAAACUUUUGUAUCUUCUCUUCUCGUAAAACCUUCCAUUGCUGCUGCAAAAUUCACUUCUACUGUUAUGAUUUGCGCUGCUUUUUGCAAUGCAUUUCAUAUUUUUUUCGAUUGCGCUGCUAUUUUUUUCCAAAAUUUUGUAAAAUAAAGCUCGACCAUUAAUUAGCAAUCGUAAACAAAACAAUUUGCACCACACAAAGUCACGCACAAAAUUUGAACAUCUAGCUUUGUGGCAAGUGUUGGAAGCAGUUGUAAACAAAACAAACAGCGUUGCCGAUUCGUCAUAUAAAACUUCCGCUCAUCUCUAUAUAGAGGAUUUCUAGUAAAAACUAGUGCGAUAGUCCAGUCCAGUGGUGAACUAAAUGCGCUAUAUUUUGUCAUGCAUAUGUACAAGUGAAUUUCUAUCUUACAUACUAUGAAAUUUAACAGGAAAUUGUAGCACUUAAUCUACCCGUAAACCUAAAUUGUUAGUGAAAACGUACAUACUAAUAUUUAUCGUGCACAAAACUAAAUCUAGACUAACUGUAGUACGGAUAGUAAAACGGGUUGAUAGUACGGAUUGCAUGUUUUGCACCCACAUAAAUGCAGCAGCGGUAGACAGACAGGCAGAUUGGACUCGAAGGACUAGUAAGGAAACUAAACGUAAAUUAAUACCCAACCCUGCCUCUAGGCGGGGUAUGUAUAGUUUGAGCAUUUUUUUUCUUUCCCGGUCAAUCAAAGCAUUUAUAUUUUUGGCUGAUAUUUAGGACUGUUCUGAACAUGUAUCUCUAAAUGGUUUUUGGUGUCUUUCGAAGUGUAUUUACAUUAUUUAAAAAUCAUUAAAAAAAAUUGACGUUUUGGUCACUUUCCAUAUGUAAUCGUGUUUUUCCAUUGUUUUUAAAUAUUUCAAGAAUAAUCAUUAAAUCUCAAAAUGUUUUAUCUUCAAAAAUCGGUAUCCCAAAUAGGCUACUAGGAAAAAUAUAACAAUUUAGGGAUAUUCAAAAAUAAAAAUUAGAAAAAUCAAAAACCAAAAUCACGAAUUAAAAAAAAUCACCUUCCAUAAGAUAUUUAAAUCGAUUUUAGAUGAGGAAAUAUGAUAUUUAGAUCAAAAUCAAAAAUUUGGGUAUUAGAGGGUUAAACGAAUAGACUACUUAAUCCCUAUCUAGAGACUAUGGGUUGUUGCAACCAUAAAAUGUAUACUAUUAUACAUUCCAGGAAAUAAACCCUCGAGCACCUGCAACGGCACUACGUUUACACUGAGUAUCACAAGCGUGCAUUUUUCAAGGUGCGUGUACUCAGUACACGACGCGACCGCUCCCGGGUUAUAAUCCCCCUUCCUGUAAUCUUGAAACGCUAUUUUUUACUUUGGGAUUUGCCCCGAGAACUGCCCCCUGUCCUAACAGGAUUAUUAUUUCGGGAAUUUUCCGUUGGCGUUUCCAACACUUACUAAAAUAUACCUUCAGUGUACCAGCAGACGCUCUAGUUUUAAUAGCCGCUCACGAGCGUAGAAGCACAGUUUAUCUGCAACAAUACAAUAUUUUUAUCACGGAUAUUCAAAACAUGCUUGCCGAAUUAUAUUCGUGCGGACAGGAUUGCACAUAUAUAUGCCGUUAAACAUAUGUUUCAAAGCGGCGAACGCCUAUUGGAGCACAAGCGGCUACUGGUACACUAACGGUAAUAUACUCAGUCCUGCUCUUUUUCUGUAACAAAACGAACUGCAAUUUUACGUUCUGUGUAAUAACUGCGGUCCAUUUCCUGUUUUUCCGCUCGAGUAAAUAAUUAAUUUCAUAAUAAACAAAACCAUAUUGUUUACUUAGAGUUUCCGGUUGAGUCGUACACUAGUCUACUUUUUUCAAUACUGCCAUACCUGAAAACAUAUAAAAAUAUAAUGUCUAAUUUUGACCUUUAAGGUCAACAGGUUAUUAACAUUAUCACACAUUACACAUUAUCACACAAGCCUUCAAAAUUCAUCAUGCAGUUUUGAUUCUGUAAAAUCUGAUGGUAGUCCGAAUAUUUCAAUUGAGCAAACUAUUAAGCAUACGUAAAUGUUUCGUGAAACGUAAUUGUUUGUACAUUUUAUUGUGCAGUUAGUUCACCACUGGACUGCGCACUCAGUCUUCAUAAGUGCGAAAACGUUAAUAAAAGUGCGCGAUUGCAUCAAAUACUUUUAUUUACGUUUUCGCCCUUUUGAAAACUCGUGCGAUAGUCCAGUGGUGAACUAAAUGCGCUAUAUGUAUCUGUAGGGUUAGUAUCCAGAAUUACCCUUGCAGCUCUUUCUGAUACAAAACUAAUGUAAACCGUAACAUUUGUAACAUGAAUAUCUCCUAAAUUUACUGAUUAUUUUAUAUGAAAAUCUAACAUGCCCAACUUGUGGUAAGUGUAUUUAUACCACAACACAAGUGUUGUAACAAAGAUAGUAGGGUAGCGAACCACUUGGGCAGCGGCCGGUAUUUUGGGCACUCUUCGCUAUAACUCAGUCAAUUCCAAACCAAUUGACUUGAAAUUAUGUACACGGCUAGAUAAUAUACGUAUCUAAUCGCGUUCCAAAAAUUGUAUCAAUUGGUUCAGAAGUGGCUGAGUUAUAGCAGAAACGUUCCCAAAAUAGGACCCUUGCCGAGAUGAUUCCACUUCUCUAAUUAUUGUAGGAAGAAUCUAGUCAGGGGCCAUCCAUAUACCACGUGGACAACUUGGAGGGGGAGGGGGUCCGAUAAAAGUCCACGCUUGUCCACGGAGAGGGGGGUGCGGGAUGUCCACGUGAACAACAUUGAUAUAAGAAAUAAGAUACAAAGAUUCAUCAACGAAACAAAUUAUGUCGUAUUAUUCAAGUGAUGCCCUCUUUGAAAAUUUACUCGCCUUUUUUAAUUAUCAUAAUUUUGAUUAUCAAGGGUGCUUUCACUCACCAGGCCAUCGUUUAACUCAUUUAUCUAUAACUCUGUUCAGAAGCUUGUUACUACAAUGUGGUGUUCGCGAAGCUUGUAGGCUCCUGUUUUUCAUACAAUUAUCACCAAGGGUGUCAUAUUCCAACUCUUAUAUGUACGGCGUUAAAGUAUUAGUCUCACCUACUGCUACUAAAGGAUUGAAUUUUUUAUCAUUUAGUAUGAGUAGGUAUUACUAGCGUUCUCUCGGUAUAAAUAUCAGAGUUAGAACAUGGUAUCCUUGGUGACAAUUGUAGGAAAAACACUACCCUACAAGUUUUCCGAACAGCUUCUGUACUGAGUUAUAGAUAAAGCAUCCUUGCUGAUUGUCUGGUGUAUUCAUCAGAAAAGAAUUAUGGAGUUUUAAAAUGGAGCUUAGGCCAAAAAAAUGUUGGUGUUUCUGUCAGAAUUUUCGUUCAAGUUCUCGAAGUUGCAUAUCAUUUUUCUAGAAUACUUCGAAGUUUCAAAAUAUAUGAAAAGAUUUUGCCCUACUCUCACAGGUUUACCUUCAAAUUUUGUCAUGUAUUUUUCUCCAAAAUUACAGAUGUGUUUAUAGGAUAUUGAAUCGUAGCACUAAGUUUGUAGUUGCACUAUGCAGUUUUUUAAAUGAUCAUGUAAUUAUUGCAUUUGUUAAAAUCUAAGAAAUAGAACCAUUGAAAAUUAUCAAAAUACAUCCACAUAAAAAUAUUCUUAACCAAAAAAAGGACAAUCAUGGAUUUAAAAACAUUCAGUUCAAUUAAAAUCAAUGCUGAAAACUUUGUCCAUUUGUGUACCUCUUUGAAAAAGACCUUGAAAGGAAGUCACUCAAAGGGGUUUGCCUCUUGCAAUUGUUUUGUUUAAAAAUAAAUCAACCUUAACUUGAACCUAUAUAGUUAGCUAUACAAUAUGAAAUUCAUAACUUAUGAACUAUAUUUAAAACAUAAAGUUAUGAACUACUUCGAAGAAAAACAGCAAUCCCUAAAAAAACUUAUCAAAUUACUGUUUUCAAUUUAUUAAAAAGUCCAAAUAUUGGAAAAAAAAGUUUUUUCUUUGUGAUGUCCACGUUGACAUUAGGGGAGGGGGAAUAGGGUUCAAUGAAAAGUCCACGAAGAGGGGGGAGGGGAUUAAAAACCAUGAUUUUUCUAUCCACGUGGUAUAUGGACGGCCCUUAGUUGCAGCACUAUCAAAAUCGAUUGAAUGUCUUGACUAUUGUGUAAACUUGAAGAUUAUUUUAAAUAUUUUAUCAAUCUGUAACGACCAACUGACGAUUUCACAUCACAAAACUGAAUAAAUGACUUCAUAUAUACGUUAGAUAUUUCACAAAACACGGAAUAUUCUACCAAUAUAAUGAAAACCAAAAAACGUAUGCAGGCGCGCCAACUUGGUCAAAUUAUUGGGAGGGCAAAGCCUGUUUUUGAGAUUUUUUGGUUUCAAGUACACAGGGCCAAAUACUCAAAUAUUUGACAAUGAAUGAACUAAAGAUCAAACAUCUGUUAGAUACGAAUGAAAAUAUGAUCGAGUCAAACAAGAUGUUUGAGCAUAGCUUACUUUUUUUUUAUAAAUAUUUGACCCAGUGUACUAGGUUAAUUAACCUUUCGUAACGCGCGCGUUGGCCACCACCGCUAGCACCACACUAAUGUUUUUGUAUUCAACAUUUUUUCAACGUGUCGUACAACGUCAACUCGAUCGCUCGAGGGUAAUCAAUUACGCAAACCUGUUACAUUGAAUGUUUAGGAGAGGUCAAGGUAACAAACAUUGUUGAAGUAGGUAGGGGAGGCGGGGCAGUAUAGACACCCUAAGAUUUUUGCCAACUUCACCUGGCAAUAUGUCAUAAAAGUUUCGUUUUUUGAUACAUGUAUUCUUCUAGUCUAUUUAGCAGCCAUUGUAUACGAGUGCAAACGAAAAAAAAAUUGUCCACUUCAAUUGAAAAAUGUUGAUACAUAUUUCAUGACCGUCUUCAAGCAUACGAGGCAGAAUGGACACCCUCAUGGGGCAGUAUGGGCACCAAGAGACUUUUAUGAAUUUCGUAAUUAUAACCUAUGAUGUUAUUUUGUUUUUACAAAAUAAUCAAGGAUGGAAAUCUAGAUCAUGAUCGGAUCUCGAAUGUGUAGCGAUUGAAAGGCAUCGUGCUAUCAUAACAACAACAAUAACAUCACAGACAAACAGACAUACUACUCAAAUCGGAAUCAUCGCACGAUUUAACGGUUAUUUUGAAAAUAUAGUGUGGUUCAGACUGUGCUCGCAUGUGUCAUGGUGGCGCUGCUGUGCCUCAAUUUUGCAGAAAAAUGAACGCGACGCCGAUCAAUGUUUACAUAAAAUGACUCAAUCAUGAACUUUCAUUCAUGUUUUAUGAAUGGAUGACGCCACGGGGGAGUCGUCACCUGCUAAAUUGUUACAUCGAGCCGAGGGAAACAACACCUGGAAAUGAAUGCUUCGGAUUGAGCAUUAUAGAUAGAGGGUGCUACGGUGCUACUGAGAUGCCAAACGAUGUUUUUGAAGCAAUUUUCUUCCAAGUAAUAUGUCUGUUUGUCUGUGAUAACAUUUUGUCGUCAAUAACAAACAACGGUCUGAGAAGAAUGAUUCGCUCGGCAUGUGUGGGUGCGAUGCGAUCGCUAUCAUGAAGUCGAAAUGAUAAAUUCGCGAUUUCAUUCACUUUUCAAGCAUUCUUACUUGUUCAACCUCCAGGAAUGCUUAUGAAUGCAUUAUUUCUAAUACAUAAUGAAUGCGGUUUACGGGUGCAUUAGAGCAUGGUUUCCCAAACUGUGGGUCGCGACCCCCCAGGGGGGUCGCCGGCCUUCAUCCAGGGGGUCGCGAGGGAUAGUUGAAUAAUUUACUAACAGACAACAAAUGAGGGAAUUUCUAUGGUGGGUCGCCGAAAGCAAGUCCACUGGUAAAAGGUGGUCGCGCACACAAAAAGUUUGGGAACCUAUGCAUUAGAGGCUUAAAAUCUAAUGAAAAAAAAAUAUUACGACUUGUAACCUGGGACGGGACCCUUCAGGUGCUAAUGCAAAUACGAAACCAUUUGCCUGUCAAAAAAGACCACUUCUGAUUGGUUGAUUUGACAAAAGCAGCGUUGCGCCGCGUUACGUUCGUUUACAAGAGGGCACUCUGUUGUUGAGUUAGCCGUGUUGCUAGUAGUCACGGGUUUUUUAAACCUCGUAUGAUUGAUAAUUGAUAACUAACAACAUUAAUCGUUUUUCUCACUUUCUGUGCCGUUUUUAUCCGGAACUUGACAUGGUGAAAUGAAUUGCAAAACGCAGUGAUGUGUAUCAUUCUGGGCUUCAUUUUUACUAAUUUUCGAAUAAUCCAAAGGUUUGCCGGCAAGGGAUGGAAGUCUGUGUGUGAGAUCCAAACGAGGAAGAUCAGAUUGUUUUCAAACUCAUUCUUCGAAGUAGAAUGCUAAAUAAAACUAGUCAACAAGUUUUGAUUGAUUUGCAUAUGAAAAGUGUUGGCAACACUAGAGCAACCCCCGUAUGAACAGUAACAAAAAGAAUAAGAGGGCUUGUACCAAUGAGCUGUCACGUCCCGUCCCAGCUUGUAACAUGAUCCGAUAACGGGUCAUAACGCGAUAAAGCGUGCAUCGGGUGCUUCGAGUCUCUGUGACACGAGCACAGUGGAAGGCGUCGGCAUCAUGCUAACUGCCCAAGUAACCAUUAAGCCGUAAAAAUGGCAUUAAGUCGGCUCUAUAGUCGAAUGUAGAACCUGGCUAACAGAGCUAAUUGGUUCUAUAUCCUCGUAUAGAGCUGCUCAAAAGCCACUUUUGGCGAAUUAUUCGGCUGAUAUACGGCCAACUUUAAAAUAUCGUGCCAAGUCUCUGGAGCGAACGUUGUCAAAAGUGAGACAAAGAAAAAAGAAAAAAAAAUAUUUUGUUUAUCUCCUGUUCUUUUCUAACUUCCUUCGCUUCCAUUGAAGUUGCUUUUUUGCUACUUCAUCCAGAUUCUAGCUGUUGUCCUCCGAGUUCCUGAUCAAGUUCAAGUCCGUUGCCUUUUUCAUCUGCUCCACCAAUGCAUCAUGGGAAUGGUGUGAUCAAACUAGUAUUUAAACCAUGAAAAACAAAAUAGUUUGGGCAUUUCGAGGGUUGAAAAUGAUAUGGGAUGAGGAUGAUUCAGUGGUAAGGUUGGUGGUGAUGAACGCAGGAAUUGAUGCAGGAGAAGCAAUGUUUAUAUAAAUGAUCGGAAAACGUUUCACAAGAAGAGAGAAACGAGCUGGAGUUUGUCUUGAUUGAAAAAAAAAUGGAAUAAUCAAGAUAAUCAAAUUCCAUUAUCUAUUUAACAACACCAUUCCGAUAAACAUGCCAACAACAAAAAUAAUCCCGUUUCGUCAAUCCCGUCCGACAUGGAUGUUUAAAAUGUAUUGAUCAUGACCGACUCGAGUCUGUUUUGGUCGAAAUCUAUUUUGAUUGAUAUAAACGUCAUGUGCUCCAAGCCCUGUGACAGCACUGACAAACUUCUUUACAGCUUGUAGGCUUUAUAUAGGCUUACAGGGCUUAAUUUAGUUCUUACUGGUUAUAGUGCCUAUAAGCAUCAGGAAUGCUUAUAUAGAGCUACUUAGCACUGAAAAGCUGUUUGAUGGCCGUUAUAAUGCUCAGAACAGUGCUUAGUGGUUACCUGGGUGGUGAUUUGAUGUUGCAUGAAUAAGUAGAAGAAGAGCGAUGAUGUUUUGAAACAUCCCUAUCCCUAUAACACAGGGGAAGAUUUUUAAAUGCCUCUAUAAAAUCUAUAUCAAAAUCUAAUUGAAAACGGUUUAAUGUACGGUGUUAGCCUUUGGACUACAAAUUAAGUACCGUCGAUGGGGGUGACAAUGGGUCUGGGGGGUGAGAUUGGGUCAAACCGGAGAAACAUAAAAUUUGAAAUAACUCGUCAAGUAUCGCUAAUUUAUAUUGAAAACUUUAUAUUAUUUCAAACGUCAUGAUGCAGAAUAAGAUGUUUAGCAAUAAUCGUUUAUUGUUAUAUUUGUGGCUAAGCUUAUGUGAUGAAACUACUAGUAAAUCACUCUGAAAAAAUUUCUCCUUCGCAAUGUUCCACACAAGCACCUAACCAUAAGCUGUAGGUAUUACCUGGUUGAUGCAACGGAAAAAGUGGGCUGUCUAUGCAAUUUUUAUUUAAAAAUUCAAUAUUUUCGACCCCAUGUCUAAAUAUUAAGAAUGGGGGUGAGAUUGGGUCAAGCAAGUUAUCGACUGCACAUAACCUUAACUAAAAAUUCAACUUGUUAUCCAGUCCCCAUUUGACUUUAAAGUGGUGCCAUGUUUACCGUAUCUUCAUAAAAGCACGCUUUUUACAAAAAUAUGUCGAAUAAGCGUCAAGCGAGUGUGUUCAUACGUUUAGUGCCUAAAAUCAUUUAUAAAAAUACACCCAUGCGUUUGGAUAGCUUCUCUAAUCAUCAUCUAGCCUUUAGUGUACUGCAUAUUCGUUGAAAUGUUAUUGCGAGAGAGGAUCUAAUAAUGUGAAAAGUUGUAUAACAUAAUAGUUGAACGACCCUCUAUCUUGAGAGGCCAAUGAUCAUGUACAUAAGAGUUUAUAACGGAGGGCUUGGUUAAACAUUUCUUAUGCAGUACAUAUCAUUUUUUUUUUCAAUCAAUCUUUCAAUGCGUCCCUCCCUCAUUGUAAUCUGCCUCCCUCCUCUCUUGGAUUUUGAAAUGAGGAUGAUUAUGGUGGCUAAAAAUGGCGAUACAACAUACAAACGUUAUUUUAUCAAAUUUCAACCAUUUUUUCGGUUGUAUUAGCUCUUUUAGGUGGAUUUAUCAUCUUUUAAAAUUACCUAAAUUUUUAUUCGUUAUGGUUACAUUGUAUUUUAAAUAGAUUUACUAGAUAUGAUCGAUAAAAUUAACUUAUAUUCUUAGAUAGGUGACUUUGAAUACUUUGACCCAUUCUCACCCCCUCUAAGGGGUGAGAUUGGGGCAAUUAUCAAUCAUUUGUAGUUUAGUAAGUAAUUCAUAUAAUGUGAUACUUUCUUGCUAAACUUUCAUUAUCAUAUAGAAGAGUAUACAUACCAAAUAAAAAGUUAUUCCGACUUCAAUUGCAUUUGUUAUUUAACAAACAAUCUUUGAGUAUCCUUUUUUGACCCAUUCUCACCCCCAACGACGGUACCUUAUCAAGAAAAAAAUGUUAAAUUUAAAUUUAUACGUUCAAUAUGUAGUCCGUCCAAAGUCUAACACCGUACAUCAAACCGUUUUUAAUUAGAUUUUGAUUAAGAUUUUAUAGAGACAGUGUUUAGUUCUUCUUCUUCUUCUUCUUCUUCAUGCAACAUCAAAUCACCAAUGAACUUGUCCACGGUGACGUCAUACGCCAACGAACGGCAAGAUGUAAAACGGUAACUGCGAG